UUUUGUAGUAAAUACUGAAUCUUUUAAGUCAUAAGGGAAAAUGUGUUGUGGUUAUAUUCUAACUUCGGAUGGUAGUUUUCUUCUUCGUUGUGUAAUUUAUCUCACUAAACUUCUUCUUGACUAAGAAACCAUUUGAAUAAUUGAGCUUCAAAGUGCCUUCCGGUUGAAACAAAGAUGUUACUGGUUCAGUUUCUCAAAAGCAGGUCAUAAUGUUUAUUCUUUUUAUAUUGUUAGUUAAACUGUAUUUUCAUAAUAACUAAGAAAUGCUAAACCAAUAAUGUCACUUUUGCGAUCGAUCUAAUUUAAGUUUUUAAACUAUUAAGAUUGGAGACUAAAAUUACUCCCUUUUUGUCGAUGCAAAAAUUUUAAGUUGUUGAUACUUCAUCUUAUGAAUUAACUUUUGAUAUUUCAGUUCAGGGACCAGUUAAAACUUGAGGUUUCUAAGUAUUCGCAAUAUGGUCAAAAUUUAGAUUCACCAUUUUAUUAGGCAUCAAAAUGGUGGCAUAUUUUCAUAAUUGGUUCUGAAGUUACGAAAUUUCCUUCAAUUAAUUUAAAUGCAAAUUGCGCCAUUUUUUUUAUUUAGCUACCCUUUGACCAAUGUGGCAUUAGAAUAAUGGUCACUGUUAUGCAAUAGAUUUAAGUUUACUAGAAAUUGCAAAAGUUUUUCCCUUCUUCCCUUACUAUUUUCAUAAAAUACUGUAAAACAAUUUUGUAACUUAACUGCUAGUCUACUUUUAUUUUUAAAAUUAUUUUUAAAACUAUCGAGUAAGAAUGUUACUUGUCUAGACAGUAAUACAAGAAAAAAAUAGGAUUGCAAAGAAAUUAAGUAAAGUUGUUUUGAGUCUAGUAAUAAAAUGAAAGUUAGUGUGGAUAUACCAAAAAGAAAUAUAUCUGAAUUAUUUAAGCAAUAACUAUGCGAAAUUUUGUUUUAUUUAAAAGUAUGCAAAAGCAUCAUUUGUGUAUACUUUUAAUUAUGGCGAAUCAGCUCUGUUGCAAAGUUGCUAACCACAGCGCUUGUAAAAGCAGGACUAAAAACGUUUUUGCAUCUUUAGCAGUGACUGCAAACGUAAUUUAAAAAAAAAAAUCGGAUGUUCUCCUAAUAUUGUCACAGCGAUAUCCAUCAACAUUAAUAGAUGAAAAAAUCAUCAGAAAUUGUUUUUAGAAAACCAAUUGAAAGCGAAGAUGAAGUUAAAAAAUUUGAAAAUUAUCUUUUCUUCAGGAGGUAAAAUUAAAAAAUUUCUGAACAAAUAAAAUUGCAAAAUUAGGGUUCAAUUGGAAAUAAUUUGUAUUGUUUUUGUUAUGAAAAAGCAAAGCAAUUAAGAACUCUAGAUAUAAAUAACAUGUUUAUAACCUCCAGAUUGUUUUGAUGUUACUAAAGUAUUAAAGUACAUGACAUGAGUUGAUAAAUUUAUGUUGACAAAAACUUUGUAUAGAACUUUUGCAUAUGGAAGUUUGUUUUUUACAUUACUAUUUUCAUUAUAUUGGUUCUUGACGAAUGGAAAGGAAUAAUACUUGUCUUUAUUGUUUUAAAAUAAAGCCUCUCAGUUUUAUUUUCGUUGAUUUGUAUAUUGGUUGUCGAGCUAAAAUUUUACAUUUAGUUUAAAUCUUGCAUAUACAUGUUUAUCUUAUUUCCUGAGUUUCGAUUUGUGUUUUUACUUUGCUUAAUCUUAUUCCCGAUUUUUCUCAAGAAAAUAACUUUCUCAUAUCUCAUUAAGUCUUAAUCUCUCAUUUGUUUUUAUAAUUGUUUAUUAAAAUAGCAUUUAUAACUCAAAAUUUGAAUUGAAUAAGCAUUAUGUUGGUGUUGCAAAAUGCAGAAUGAAAAAAUAAAGAAUUACUUCCCACAAUGUUUUAUAAAUAGUGCUCGAUUAUGAUAUAUUGAGGUCAUAUUAUUCUUUUUGUAUAAUUCAUGAUUUAAGCCAUGGAUUAGCCAAAUGCUUUAAUAUAGUAAAUUUGGGGUUUAGCUUGCCUCUGUGUGAAGUGUUAAUAAAAAGACUAAUCUUGCAGGUUUUGAAAAAUUUUAUUAAUUCCUUCCAAAUAGUGAGAAUAGCCAGUUUAGACUCUAUUGAUAAAAGUGCAAAUAUUCAUAUACAAUUUGCAUCAAUUACAAAGUAUAUAGGUAAUUUAGUUCAAUACUAAUUUUAAUAUUAUGUAAAAGCUUAUAAAGAAAGCUAACAUUUCUUCUGUGUCUUAUAGAUAUCUAGAGAUGCACCAUGUAUAUUCUGAAAUAUUAAAAAUAUCUAAUAAAUGUUAUAUUUGAAGCUGUAUUUGAGAAUUUAAAAUUUUCAGAUUUCAAAACCUGUUUUCCAACAGCUCAAUGUAAAUGAAAAUUGAAUACUUUCUUGGUUUAAUUUUUAGUUUUAAAGAUAUUUUCAUAAUAAAACCCACUAAAAUGAAUACCAAAUUUAAACCAACUAAUAAAAUAGUUUAAAAUUACUUGGUAUUUCAUUCAGAAAUGGAAGAAACUGAAAUGAGUGGAACAAUUGUUCAGUAAUAAACCAACCACGUUUACCAAUUUAUUAAAUUGUUCAUAAUUAUUCUGCAAUUUGUGAAUAAAACUUCAGUAAUUAGUGAAGAAAAUGCAGCAGUUAUUGAAUUCUUGGGUCUACAUCAUAAAGUUAAUUGACUAAUAGUAUGCAAUAAAAUUUAUAUUAAACAUAUUUAUUUUGAAAUCUCUUCACCCUUUUAAUUGAAAGUUAUUUAGAACAUUCAUACUUAAAAGUAUUUAGUAAUGAAUUGAAAAUUAACAUUGUGAAUACAAUAUGACCUUCGUAACUAUGUGACUAUGAUUAAUGUGUAAUUUAUCCAUAUAAGUGCAUCGAUAUGAUAGAAAUAUUAUGACAUUUCAAAGUAUAAAUGUAUAAAAAAUGAGUUCUACUGUGCUUUUUCGCAUAAAACAUUGAAGGAAACGA
rnacentral:lncRNA from 1 species